rnacentral:rRNA from 1 species
UAGGGAAUCUUCGGCAAAUGGGGGCAACCCUUGACCGAGCAACGCCGCGUGAGUGAAGAAGGUUUUCGGAUCGUAAAGCUCUGUUGUAAGAGAAGAACGAGUGUGAGAGUGGAAAGUUCACACUGUGACGGUAACUUACCAGAAAGGGACGGCUAACUACGUGCCAGCAGCCGCGGUAAUACGUAGGUCCCGAGCGUUAUCCGGAUUUAUUGGGCGUAAAGCGAGCGCAGGCGGUUAGAUAAGUCUGAAGUUAAAGGCUGUGGCUUAACCAUAGUACGCUUUGGAAACUGUUUAACUUGAGUGCAGAAAGGGAGAGUGGAAUUCCAUGUGUAGCGGUGAAAUGCGUAGAUAUAUGGAGGAACACCGGUGGCGAAAGCGGCUCUCUGGUCUGUAACUGACGCUGAGGCUCGAAAGCGUGGGGAGCAAACAGGAUUAGAUACCCUGGUAGUCCACGCCGUAAACGAUGAGUGCUAGGUGUUGGGUCCUUUCCGGGACUCAGUGCCGCAGCUAACGCAUUAAGCACUCCGCCUGGGGAGUACGACCGACAAGGUUG